UACAGGGGGUGCAAACGUUGCUCGGAAUUAUUGGGCGUAAAGCGCGCGUAGGCGGCCUUUUAAGUCCUGCGUGAAAUCCUGCGGCUCAACCGCAGACGGUCGUGGGAAACUGGAAGGCUAGAGUGCGGGAGAGGAGAGUGGAAUUCCCGGUGUAGCGGUGAAAUGCGCAGAUAUCGGGAAGAACACCCGUGGCGAAGGCGGCUCUCUGGGACGGUACUGACGCUGAGACGCGAAAGCGUGGGGAGCGAACAGG
rnacentral:rRNA from 1 species